rnacentral:misc_RNA from 1 species
AUCUGCACUAGGUGGUCAUUUCCACUUUCCACCAAACCAUAUUAACUUUCCAUGAGAAUGUAUAAUAAUUAACCAUAGCUGACUAAUCUAUAAGCACAUUUCAUGCAGUUAUUAGUCAGGUGUACACACCACAAACUGAUAAGUUUUUUCCUUCAUUUUGCUCCCACAACAACAACAAGAACAUACCCAGUGAAAUCCCAAAAAGUGGGUCUGGAUAA